rnacentral:rRNA from 1 species
GAAUCGGUUGCGCACAUCCUUUUCUAGUGCAGAUUCUCCAAGAGGGUGUGGGGUUCGGUCAAAGAUUGGCUGCAACUUCAUGGGUUUAAUCUGAAAGCAUGGCAUGGGUUUCGGAAUGUCGAAUCUUGGUGGUACGCUAUCGUUUACGACGGCCACGGCCAACGGAGGGCCAUGGCCUCUCUUGUGAUGCUCGUGGCGUGGGAGCUUUGUAAUGAGCGGAAUGCGAGGAUCUUUGACAAUAAGUCGGCACCGACAUCAAUAGUCAUGUCUAGGAUACGGUGUGAGACGAAGAAUUGGGGGCUUGCAGGCGCACCCCGCUUGUGUAACCUAAUACUGGGGGAGUAG